AUUAAACGCAGAAAUUGCUACGCAGUAUUCAUAAAAUUAAAUAUUAUAAUAUCUAUAAGGAACUUCUUAGGAUAGUAUUAGGAUGACAAAAAAGUAUCAACCAAAGAAGAUGCAUGCACUGAAUGAAAUAGUGUACAGCACUGUCCACAACAUCUGCCAAUAAGCUUUUUAAUUUAAAAAGCUACACAUUGAUCUAACUUUACUACCUGAAACGGGCUGAAUACCUUAAAAUUAAACUUUCAUAAACAAGUAAAGUUGCUCAAAACAUUCAAUAUCAUAGAUAAAAGAAAGUAAACUUGAUGAACCAAAAAGGAAUAUUCCUCCUUUCCAAGGCUUACAGUAAUAAAUUACUUUGUGAUAUGUAGAAAUGCAACAGAAACCCA
rnacentral:misc_RNA from 1 species